ACUUUGGGAAGCUGAGGCGGGUGGAUCACAAGGUCAGGAGUUCGAGACCAGCCUGACCAACAUGGUGAAACUCCGUCUCUACUAAAAAUACAAAAAUUUGCUGGGCGUGGUGGCGCACACCUGUAAUCCCAGCUACUCGGGAGGCUGAGGCAGGAGAAUCAUUUGAACCCAGGAGGUGGAGGUUGCAGUGAGCUGAGAUCAUGCCACUGCACUCCAGCCUGGGUGACACAAUGAGACCGUCUCCAAAAAAAAGCUACUAUGAAGCUGGGACUCUGUUCCAGGCCAGCCUCAGGCUGGCCUCAUCCUAAUGAAGUCAUCCUGGCCUGGUCCCAAUCUUGGGGCUCUGGUCCCAUGGAUUUUUGCAGGGAUCCGCAACCAGGCCGACAACUGCCCUAGGGUACCCAACUCAGACCAGAAGGACAGUGAUGGCGAUGGUAUAGGGGAUGCCUGUGACAACUGUCCCCAGAAGAACAACCCGGAUCAGGCGGAUGUGGACCACGACUUUGUGGGAGAUGCUUGCGACAGCGAUCAAGACCAGGAUGGAGACGGACAUCAGGACUCUCGGG
rnacentral:sRNA from 1 species